CGGAAAGUAGCUUAACAGGUAGAGCGUUGGUCUCCAAAACCAAAGAUGAAGGUUCGAGUCCUUUCUUUCCUG
rnacentral:tRNA from 1 species